rnacentral:lncRNA from 1 species
GCUACUUCCAGUUUUCACAAGGUCACUUCCGGAUUUCAUUUUUCAAGGUCAUAUGUCACCUUAUCUUUUGUACAAGGUGAUAUUGCUUUGUAAUGAACUUAGUUGAAGUUAUAAUCAAAUAACCUUAUAUUAAGACAUUUCAGGGGCACUAACUCCUAUUAGAUGCCAUUAAAAUGUAACAUAUCUUCGUAACAAUAAAGCAAACAUUUUGCACUUGUUCUUUUAUAUAUAUCUUUCAAAUUGUCAGAGAAAAUGCAAAAACAAGCAAAAGUCACAAUUUAGAACUUGACAUUUAUCUUUGACCUUGACCUCAUUUUUUAAAUUAGGACCUAGGAGCCUCAAAUAAAAACAUCCAGGGUUAUACGGUUAACGGUUGAUGAGUUGAAAACACAUACCGACAAAUUUUUUUUGUAGAGGUAGAUAACUCCUAUAAAAUUUCAUCGGAUCGCUUCAAUCCAAAUUAGCCAAAAAUUCAUGACGUAACGAACAAUUUGUGAAAAGAAUUUUGUCGAUAUCAUCUUCUGUUACGAAGGAGAUGCACACAGAUGAUAAACAGUGAAUAGGGAGAUAAAUCUUACAAAGAAAAUGGUUCGGCUUAGCAGGGUGAAAUUUAAAAGCACAUAAACUAUACGAUACAAUAUGAGAAAUAUUUAAGCGACAUAUUGCGAAACAAACAUUUAUUGCAAGAACAAAAUUUGGCGGAAAAAAAUAAAAAUAAUAAUCAGAACAAUUACAAUUGGUCUUUCCACAGAAAAGUAGAAAGACCUAAUUAAAAAUCAAUUGUUCAGAGAACAAUUGAAGGUCUUUCCACCAAAAAACAUGUAUACAAAUAUGAAAGAAGUAAAAUUAGGUUUAAAAUGUCUUUUCAAUGAUAGUUUAUUGUACACUGAAUCAAAAAUAUAUGGUUUCUUUUCAAUAUUGUUUUUAAUAAGGGAGAUAAUUUGUUACUUCCGGUCAGAAAAAUGUUACUUCCAAAACUAUUUGAAUAUUUACUUGACACUGAUUCCAAAAAUAUCUGAAUUUAUAUACUUUUAUAUUAAUAAGGUUUGAAAAACAGCAACUUCCGGUUCACACAAGGUCACUUCCGGUUGUUUUUUUCAAGGUUAAUUGGUUUGAAAGCUAUUGCAAAAAGUCCCAUGGCUUUAUCAUGUAUACAUAUGAGAUAAAAGCAAAGGUCAAAAUAUAGAACGUCAAAUCAAUAUAUGACCUUGAGAUCAAUUUCAAGGUUAUAAACCAAGGACCUCAAAUCAAAAGACCAUAGGUCUUAAUUAUAUUUAAUU